rnacentral:lncRNA from 1 species
GACCAAAGAGUGGUGGCAUAUAGUAAUGAUGGAUGGUAGUGUUUGAUGAUGAUAGACAAUCGAUGGCUAGAGAAUGAAAAAAAAAUUUUGAAACAAGGAUUUGGUUGAAAAAGCAUAAGAAGGGGAUCAAGCUUGAUUUGAUUCAAGUAUUAGUUUGCUCAUCAGCAAUUGAACUCAAACAUUCCAUCCCAAAACAUCAAUACAAAGGCUUUAGUAACAUGCAAUGAUGGCUAAAAUCAAAAGAAAC